GAAGGAGAAGCUGGAGGAGAGGAUAGCUGCCAUGGAAGCCAAAUUAAACACUUUCUCCAGCGGCGAGGAAAUUCAGCGGAAAAGAGGAGAGCACAGUCCUAAAAUUGCGACUGGGCUCACCUCACAAUGAGACAGUCAGGACAUAUUUAGUUAAAACUUUGGCUGAAGUCCAGAUGUGGAGGAUGUGGAGACAGACGUCCUUCUAUCUGCUUGUAAAAAGCAUUUUGAAACUCUACGGAGGAACUACCGCUACAGUCAACCCAACAUGGCGGAUCAGGCGGAGGCCAUGAAGUCUUCUGCCCCGAGUCGCCACAGAAGAAAGAGGCUGCUGGAUGCCAGGAAGACAGUCCCUGCUCCAGAUGAAGAGAACUUCUGGAAGGGCAUCACAGCUGACAUGAUGUCAGAUGAGGAGGACGGCAGCGUUGACGGCGUGCGUGGAUGGAUAGUACGGCCUCCAUCCUUC